rnacentral:rRNA from 1 species
UACGGGGGGGGCAAGCGUUGUUCGGAAUUACUGGGCGUAAAGGGCUCGUAGGCGGCCAACUAAGUCAGACGUGAAAUCCCUCGGCUUAACCGGGGAACUGCGUCUGAUACUGGAUGGCUUGAGUUUGGGAGAGGGAUGCGGAAUUCCAGGUGUAGCGGUGAAAUGCGUAGAUAUUGGGAGGAACACCAGUGGCGAAGGCGGCUCACUGGACCGGAACUGACGCUGAGGCGCGAAAGCGUGGGGAGCAAACGGG